rnacentral:tRNA from 3 species
UGCGGUUUAGCUCAGUUGGUAGUAGCGCAUGACUGUUAAUCAUGAUGUCGUCGGUUCGAGUCCGACAACCGCAG